CUAAACCCACUUCCUCUCUCCCUAACUCGCGCUAAUUAUUUCGCAAUUUCAUCUCCCAAUUUCGCUCUCUCUCACUCUCUCUCUCUCUACCAAAUUUGUAACAUAAACACUGCAAUGAGGGUUCUUAGCUAUGGGUGGAAUUUAGCUUUGUAAAAUUAAAUACCCAAUAGAUUCACAAAGUAGCAGAAUCGUGGGGGUCUCAAAAUCAGUUAGAAAUCAAUAGUUGAGAUUUUGCAAAGUGUAUUUGCAGAGACAAAAAGGUUGGGAUCUCUUUCUACCAUCAGCUUUCUCCGGAAAAGAUCGAUUCCUUGAGCGUGUUCACAUAAUUAGUUUCUCAGUUAGCUUCAAUCGCGAGAAAUUAUUUUUCCAAAAGGCACACUGUGAGAAAUCACUAGCUGAAGAAUUUGAAUUAAAUGGAUUAUGGAGAUGAAAGUUGGAUGAAUCUCCUAAGAUGGACGGAUGAGUAUAUUCGUGGAGUAAAUACUUUUCUUGAUAAGGCAUUUGAAUGAGCUUCCCAGGGAAAUAAAAUAUUAUGUCCUUGCAAAAAGUGCAUGAAUCGCAAUUGGCAUUAUAGAAAUGUGGUGGAGGAUCACUUGGUAGUAAAUGGGUUUGUUGCUGGUUAUACCAAAUGGGUUUUCCAUGGGGAAGGAUUUUCCUCGGCAAAUCCACCUAAUCCAUGCAAUGAUGAUGAUGAUUUUGACAUGCGUAACGAUAUUGACAGACUACUUCAUGAUACAUUUAGAAAUAUAGAGGGUGAGUCAAGGCAUGAAGAAGGAGUGAAAGAGGGACUAUCUGAAGAUGCAAAGAGAUUUUUUAGAUUGGUUGAUGAGGGAAAACAAGAGUUAUAUCCUGGGUGUGAAAAUUUUACUAAACUAAGUUUCACCAUUUGGCUAUACUUGCUUAAAUCCUUGCAUGGGUGGAGUAAUGUAGCAUUUUCAGACAUGCUGGACUUGAUAAAAGAGGCAUUUCCAUUUGCUCAACUACCAGAGUCGUUUAACAAGGCUAGAAACAUGAUAAGAGAUUUGGGUCUUCAUUAUGAAAAAAAUACAUGCAUGCCCUAAUGAUUGCAUGCUAUUUUGGAACGACAAUGCGAAGGCUGAUACUUGUUCUGUUUGUGGGACUUCAAGAUGGAAGAGUACUAAUGCAAGUUCUAAUAUCCUUGCAAAGGUUUUAAGGUACUUUCCCUUAAAGCCUAGGCUUCAAAGGAUGUUCAUGUGUCCUGAAACAGCUAUUGCAAUGAAAUGGCAUGCUAAUGAACGACCCAAUGAUGGAAAUUUAAGGCAUCCGGCUGAUGGAGAAGCUUGGAAGGAUUUUGAUUCCUUGCACCCGGACUUCGCUAGAGAAUCGCGUAAUGUUAGGCUGGGUCUUUCAAGCGAUGGUUUUAAUCCAUUUAGAACCAUGAGCAUUUCUCAUAGUACAUGGCCUGUUGUGUUGAUGAACUAUAAUUUAUCGCCGUGGAUUUGCAUGAAGCCGGAAUAUAUUAUGUUGUCAAUGAUCAUUCCAGGUCCAUCAUCUCCAGGAAAUGAUAUUGAUGUGUACCUACAACCACUAAUUGCAGAACUGAAGGAACUAUGGGAAGUCGGGAUAGAAACAUAUGAUGCUGAUACAAACCAAACAUUUCAAAUGCGUGCAGCUUUAUUGUGAACAAUUAGUGAUUUUCCAGCAUUAGCAAUGCUUUCAGGAUGGAGCACAAAGGGUAGAUUGGCAUGCCCCAUUUGUAAUUAUGACACAUGCUCUCAAUAUCUUAAACAUAGUCAUAAGAUGUGUUACUUGGGCCAUCAAAGAUUUUUGCCUCCUGAUCAUCCAUUCCGAAAAGAUAAGAGGUCAUUUGAUGGUAAGGAGGAGCAUAGACCUGCACCUACUUCUUUAUCGGGUGUAGAAGUAUUUGAAGAAUUGCUUGAAUUCAAUAAUGUUUUUGGAAAGGGAAAAAAGAAAAAACUUCGUAACAACAAAAGUCCGUGGAAAAAGAGAUCUAUUUUUUUUAAUUGCCAUAUUGGGCGCAUAACAAAUUGAGGCACAAUCUUGAUGUGAUGCACAUUGAGAAAAACAUAUGUGAUAGUUUGAUUGGGACUUUCUUAGAAAUAGAUAGAAAGUCAAAGGAUCAUGUAAGUUCUCACUAUAACUUGCAAGAAAUGGGGAUACGAAAGGAGCUACAACCAAGAGAAGAUGAUAAUGGAACAGUAAGUUUGGCUCAAGCUUGUUUCUCCAUGAGUCCAGAAGAGAAAAGCUUGUUUUGCACCGUUAUUAAAAAUGCCAAAUUGCCAAAAGGGUGUGCUUCAAAUAUAUCAAACCGUGUGCAUGUGAAGGAGAUAAAAAUAUCAGGGUACAAAAGUCAUGAUGCUCAUUUUAUAAUGCAUUACUUACUCUAGGUUGAAGUUAGGAAAUCAUUGCCUAAGAAUGUUUCGUUGACCUUGAUUAGGUUGGGCGAUUUCUUUAGAGCUAUAUGUAGUAAGGUUGUAAUGAGAAAGGAUCUUGAAAAAAUGCAAUCUGAAAUUGCUGAAAUAACUUGUAAACUUGAAAGGAUUUUUCUUCCAACAUUUUUUGAUAUAAUGCCACAUUUGCCUAUU